CUACGGGAGGCAGCAGUGAGGAAUAUUGGACAAUGGGCGAAGCUGAUCCAGCAUGCGCGUGUGUGAAGAGACUUUGGUGUAAAGCACUUAAGCGAGGAGGAGGCUACUUGGAUAAUACUCUAGGAUAGUGGACGUUACUCGCAGAAUAAGCACCGGCUAACUCUGUGCCAGCAGCCGCGGUAAUACAGAGGGUGCGAGCGUUAAUCGGAUUUACUGGGCGUAAAGCGUGCGUAGGCGGCUUUUUAAGUCGGAUGUGAAAUCCCUGAGCUUAACUUAGGAAUUGCAUUCGAUACUGGGAAGCUAGAGUAUGGGAGAGGAUGGUAGAAUUCCAGGUGUAGCGGUGAAAUGCGUAGAGAUCUGGAGGAAUACCGAUGGCGAAGGCAGCCAUCUGGCCUAAUACUGACGCUGAGGUACGAAAGCAUGGGGAGCAAACAGGAUUAGAUACCCUGGUAGUCCAUGCCGUAAACGAUGUCUACUAGCCGUUGGGGCCUUUGAGGCUUUAGUGGCGCAGCUAACGCGAUAAGUAGACCGCCUGGGGAGUACGGUCGCAAGACUAAAACUCAAAUGAAUUGACGGGGGCCCGCACAAGCGGUGGAGCAUGUGGUUUAAUUCGAUGCAACGCGAAGAACCUUACCUGGUCUUGACAUAGUAAGAACUUUCCAGAGAUGGAUUGGUGCCUUCGGGAACUUACAUACAGGUGCUGCAUGGCUGUCGUCAGCUCGUGUCGUGAGAUGUUGGGUUAAGUCCCGCAACGAGCGCAACCCUUUUCCUUAUUUGCCAGCGGGUUAAGCCGGGAACUUUAAGGAUACUGCCAGUGACAAACUGGAGGAAGGCGGGGACGACGUCAAGUCAUCAUGGCCCUUACGACCAGGGCUACACACGUGCUACAAUGGUCGGUACAAAGGGUUGCUACCUAGCGAUAGGAUGCUAAUCUCAAAAAGCCGAUCGUAGUCCGGAUUGGAGUCUGCAACUCGACUCCAUGAAGUCGGAAUCGCUAGUAAUCGCGGAUCAGAAUGCCGCGGUGAAUACGUUCCCGGGCCUUGUACACACCGCCCGUCACACCAUGGGAAUUUGUUGCACCAGAAGUAGGUAGUCUAACCGCAAGGAGGACGCUACCAUCCC
rnacentral:rRNA from 1 species